rnacentral:rRNA from 1 species
GAUGAACGCUGGCGGCGUGCCUAAUACAUGCAAGUCGAGCGAACGGACGAGAAGCUUGCUUCUCUGAUGUUAGCGGCGGACGGGUGAGUAACACGUGGAUAACCUACCUAUAAGACUGGGAUAACUUCGGGAAACCGGAGCUAAUACCGGAUAAUAUUAUGAACCGCAUGGUUCAAAAGUGAAAGACGGUCUUGCUGUCACUUAUAGAUGGAUCCGCGCUGCAUUAGCUAGUUGGUAAGGUAACGGCUUACCAAGGCAACGAUGCAUAGCCGACCUGAGAGGGUGAUCGGCCACACUGGAACUGAGACACGGUCCAGACUCCUACGGGAGGCAGCAGUAGGGAAUGUUCCGCAAUGGGCGAAAGCCUGACGGAGCAACGCCGCGUGAGUGAUGAAGGUCUUCGGAUCGUAAAACUCUGUUAUUAGGGAAGAACAUAUGUGUAAGUAACUGUGCACAUCUUGACGGUACCUAAUCAGAAAGCCACGGCUAACUACGUG